rnacentral:misc_RNA from 1 species
GAUGAAGAACGCAGCGAAAUGCGAUAAGUAAUGUGAAUUGCAGAAUUCAGUGAAUCAUCGAAUCUUUGAACGCACAUUGCGCCCGCCAGUAUUCUGGCGGGCAUGCCUGUCUGAGCGUCAUUUCAACCCUCAUGCCCCUAGGGCGUGGUGUUGGGGAUCGGCCAAAGCCCGCUAGGGACGGCCGGCCCCUAAAUCUAGUGGCGGACCCGUCGUGGCCUCCUCUGCGAAGUAGUGAUAUUCCGCAUCGGAGAGCGAUGAGCCCCUGCCGUUAAACCCCCAACUUUCCAAGGUUGACCUCAGAUCAGGUAGGAAUACCCGCUGAACUUAAGCAUAUCAAUAAGCGGAGGA